GACGGAGGUUGCGAGAGUUAACCGGAAUCACUGGGCGUAAAGCGUAUGUAGGUGGUCAAAUAAGUCAGCUGUGAAAUCCUGGGGCUUAACCUCAGAAGCGCAGUCGAAACUAUUAGGCUAGAGUAUAGUAGGGGUAAAGGGAAUUUCCAGUGGAGCGGUGAAAUGCGUAGAGAUUGGAAAGAACACAGAUGGCGAAGGCACCUUACUGGGCUAUUACUAACACUGAGAUGCGAAAGCUAGGGGAGCAAAUGGG
rnacentral:rRNA from 1 species